rnacentral:rRNA from 1 species
GACGAACGCUGGCGGCGUGCUUAACACAUGCAAGUCGAGCGGUAAGGCCCUUUCGGGGGUACACGAGCGGCGAACGGGUGAGUAACACGUGGGUGACCUGCCCUCAGCUCUGGGAUAAGCCUGGGAAACUGGGUCUAAUACUGGAUAUGACUCCACGGUGCAUGUCGUGGGGUGGAAAGCCUUGUGCGGCUGAGGAUGGGCCCGCGGCCUAUCAGCUUGUUGGUGGGGUGANGGCCUACCAAGGCGACGACGGGUAGCCGGCCUGAGAGGGCGACCGGCCAUACUGGGACUGAGACACGGCCCAGACUCCUACGGGAGGCAGCAGUGGGGAAUCUUGCGCAAUGGGCAAAGCCCUGACGCNGCGACGCCGCGUGAGGGAUGACGGCC